rnacentral:rRNA from 1 species
CUGCGCAUCUAUACAUGCAGUCGAGCGGACAGAUGGGAGCUUGCUCCCUGAUGUUAGCGGCGGACGGGUGAGUAACACGUGGGUAACCUGCCUGUAAGACUGGGAUAACUCCGGGAAACCGGGGCUAAUACCGGAUGCUUGUUUGAACCGCAUGGUUCAAAUAUAAAAGGUGGCUUUUAGCUACCACUUACAGAUGGACCCGCGGCGCAUUAGCUAGUUGGUGAGGUAACGGCUCACCAAGGCAACGAUGCGUAGCCGACCUGAGAGGGUGAUCGGCCACACUGGGACUGAGACACGGCCCAGACUCCUACGGGAGGCAGCAGUAGGGAAUCUUCCGCAAUGGACGAAAGUCUGACGGAGCAACGCCGCGUGAGUGAUGAAGGUUUUCGGAUCGUAAAACUCUGUUGUUAGGGAAGAACAAGUACCGUUCGAAUAGGGCGGUACCUUGGACGGUACCCUAACCAGAAAGCCACCGGCUAACCUACGUGCCAGCAGCCGCGGUAAUUACGUAGGUGGCAAGCGUUGUCCGGAAAUUAUUGGGCGUAAAGCGCGCGCAGGCGGUUUCUUAAGUCUGAUGUGAAAGCCCCCCGGCUCAACCGGGGAGGGUCAUUGGAAACUGGGGAACUUGAGUGCAGAAGAGGAGAGUGGAAUUCCACGUGUAGCGGUGAAAUGCGUAGAGAUGUGGAGGAACACCAGUGGCGAAGGCGACUCUCUGGUCUGUAACUGACGCUGAGGCGCGAAACCGCGUGGGGAGCGAACACGGAUUUUAGAUACCCUGGUAGUCCACGCCGUAAACGCAUAGAGUGCAUAAGUGUUAGAGGGUUUCCGCCCUUUAGUGCUGCAGCAAACGCAUUACGCACUCCGCCUGGGGAGUACGGUCGCAAGACUGAAACUCAAAGGAAUUGAACGGGGGCCCGCACAAGCCGGUGGAGCAUGUGGUUUAAUUCGAAGCAACGCGAAGAACCUUACCAGGUCUUGACACUCCUCUGACAACCCUAGAGAUAGGGCUUCCCCUUCGGGGGCAGAGUGACAGGUGGUGCAUGGUUGUCGUCAGCUCGUGUCGUGAGAUGUUGGGUUAAGUCCCGCAACGAGCGCAACCCUUGAUCUUAGUUGCCAGCAUUCAGUUGGGCACUCUAAGGUGACUGCCGGUGACAAACCGGAGGAAGGUGGGGAUGACGUCAAAUCAUCAUGCCCCUUAUGACCUGGGCUACACACGUGCUACAAUGGGCAGAACAAAGGGCAGCGAAGCCGCGAGGCUAAGCCAAUCCCACAAAUCUGUUCUCAGUUCGGAUCGCAGUCUGCAACUCGACUGCGUGAAGCUGGAAUCGCUAGUAAUCGCGGAUCAGCAUGCCGCGGUGAAUACGUUCCCGGGCCUUGUACACACCGCCCGUCACACCACGAGAGUUUGUAACACCCGAAGUCGGUGAGGUAACCUUUGGAGCCAGCCGCCGAAGGUGAGAGG